GGGUGAUGGUAGAGCUAUACUGUGUUUUCGCUUUUGGUUUCACUUUUGGGCUGCCACGCCGGCUGACUAGGUUGCUCUAGUCAUUUUCCAUCAAAUCAAGAGGCAGAAGAGACCGGUUCAAGGCAGCUGGUGCCACACCUUUGAUUAAUUACACCUGUGUUUGACCUAGGGAAUACAGAUAAAUCCUGCUGCAGUCAUGUCUAUUCCCUUCAAUAACGUGCUGGAAAAAUCCACUGUCGGGCUGGGAGAUGACUCAGGAGGUAAAAUGCUUGAUGUACAAUUCUGAAGACCCAUGUCUCAUCCCUAGAACCCAGAUGGAGACAUUUGAAGAAGGAAGAAAUCUGGGUACCAUGACCAAGACUGAAAUGACAGUUGAUGGUGGAACCGCAUUCUGAAUUACGGUACCUUGAUCCCAAGACUCUAGAUGCCUCUGUUUUGUCCUCCAUGACUGUUGAUGUAUCAACAGUCUGUUUUUUUUGAGAUGGGGUCUCACCUGUAGCCCUGGCCCUCCUGGAACUCACUAUGUAAACUAGGCUGGACUUGAACUUGCAAAGAUCUGCCUGCUUCUACCUCCUGAGUGCUGAGAGUAAAGACAUAUGCCACUCUGCCUUGCCUUCAGAUUUUAGUUCUAGAAAAUAUCUGAUGAUUUUGUUGUUCUGACAUUUGCUCUUGAAUUACCUGUCUGCUUGUCUUCCUGACUGUCCUUCAUCACCUCUAACCUGUUGUCACUCAUUCCUUAUCAGCUCAGGUCUCUGUGAUCAUUUGCCACUAGAGGCUGUUCUGGAGAAGGAAAACAGUUUAUUAUUAAUCACUUUCCACAUAACAAAUAAAUCAUUUUCCCCCAAAUAUGUUUGAUUAUAGUACACCACUGUGCAUAAAAUUCUUCAGUGGCUCUCAUUCCUUAAGAGUCCCCCCAACCCCCAACCAAGUCUUGACUAUAACCACAGUGGCCUACAUAGUUUGCUUCAUAUCCACCUCUCAUGGUUCCUGUGGGCCAGGGACCUAGGGAAUUCAAGUAGAAUGGCCCCACCAGUGGGAGUUUAUGUCUUACUCAUGCAAUAACCCAAGUAGAUACACUCUGUUGGCCAGUGGCUCUGGGUCUUGCUGGGCUGUCCGGGUCCUCCCAACCAUCACUCCCCUUCCCUCGGGGCAGAGAGUCAAAGGAAGAAUGGUUUUUCCUUUAUAAUCAAGGGCACCUUGCUUCCUUCCAUCCAUUGGCUAUAAUGCAAUCACAUGACAAUCCCUAACUACAAAGGAAGUUGGGAAAUGCCAUUCAGCUGUGUGCUACUGGGAUAGAAAGAAGGAGCCUGUGGGCUGCCUCAAGUUUUUCUGCACAUAUCUGCCUUCACUCUUGUCUUCCCCUUACAUGCUAGAGCUGUGCAGUGUCCCCAAGUCCUCAAAGCACCCGUGGUCAUUUCCACAAGGAUGUGGUAUUCAUUUCCUGUGGGUUUCCAUAUAGAGUUCAUUCUCCUAAUCUAGUUAUUUUUUACUGUCUUUGACUCCCAGCUCGUGCAUCCCUUCCCUAGUGUAGACGUGAUCAUUCCACCAGAAACACCCCAUCCACCCAGUUCCUCCUUGUCAUAUGUUCUUACUGAACCUGCUAAGGAACUCCACACAAAUCUAUGACUAGAAACUCCACAUGAGGCUGGAGAGCUCAAGGGACAGCAUUUGCUUCCAGCACUCAUGCUGUUUCCAAGUUUAGCUUCCAGCACUCAUACUGAGCCGCUGACAAUUCCUGAACUCUGGCUUCUGUGGAUCUGGGACUCUCUUCCAGCCUCCAUAAGCACUGCACACAUGCACAAAUAAAAUAUCAAAAAUGCC
rnacentral:lncRNA from 1 species